rfam:Bacillus sp. MTM 13 9, whole genome shotgun sequence.
UGCAGAGGAUCAAAGACUAAGAACACCGCGUCCUGCGGUAACGUCUUUGUGACCCCCAUCCUGGGGG